rnacentral:rRNA from 1 species
AUUGAACGCUGGCGGCAUGCCUUACACAUGCAAGUCGAACGGUAACGGGCCUUCGGGUGCCGACGAGUGGCGAACGGGUGAGUAAUGUAUCGGAACGUACCUUUCAGUGGGGGAUAACGUAGCGAAAGUUACGCUAAUACCGCAUAUUCUGUGAGCAGGAAAGCAGGGGAUCGCAAGACCUUGCGCUGAUUGAGCGGCCGAUAUCAGAUUAGCUAGUUGGUGAGGUAAAGGCUCACCAAGGCGACGAUCUGUAGCGGGUCUGAGAGGAUGAUCCGCCACACUGGAACUGAGACACGGUCCAGACUCCUACGGGAGGCAGCAGUGGGGAAUUUUGGACAAUGGGGGCAACCCUGAUCCAGCCAUGCCGCGUGAGUGAAGAAGGCCUUCGGGUUGUAAAGCUCUUUCGGCCGGGAAGAAAUCGUAUGGGUUAAUACCCUGUGCGGAUGACGGUACCGGCAUAAGAAGCACCGGCUAACUACGUGCCAGCAGCCGCGGUAA